GUCAGCUCUCUCUCCGUAUACAACUACAGAAUAGAUGCACUCCAAGGAAAUAAGAAGAAAGAAGAGAAGUCUACGCCACAGCGGCCGGCCGAUGCCUUUGUCUCCUCCAUUGUCUUCAUUCUCGGAUACACACGUAAACGAAGCGAGAAGCUUAUCGGCAACAGUAAAAUGGAAGAAGAAUUUGCAGUGACUUGAAUGUUAAGGUGGCAAAGGGCUUAUGCUCAUAAGUCCAUCAGGUAAUAUACUUAAAAUUAAGAGCCUAAUUCUAUUGAGUGACGCUAUGUGCUACGUGAUAAUCGUAAACUUAUGAUUCGUGUGAUUAUUUAUGCAAUCUGUGAUAUGGUAACAUAGUUGGAAAUGACGUAUAAAAUUUGGAAAUAUGGUAAUGAAAUAACUUGAAUAACGGACUGGGAAUGAUAUGGAAUUACGAGUGAGCAUGAUGACAUAUGUGAUGCCACGUGCUUGGUUGAUGUCGUCGGGCAUAGUUGGCAUGAACGUGAUGUGAUUGAUUCGAUCGGGCCACGCGCGGUGGCAGUGAUAUGUUCCGUGCACCAUAUUUACUCAUGGGGCUAUAAGGCCAGGCGAUUUAUGAUAUUCGAUGAUUUACCCCAUGAGCUAUAUAGCCAGGCAGUAUAAGUAUGCUGGUGCACCAUGUUCACUCAUGGGGCUAUAAGGCCAGGUGGUUCAUGAUAUGUGAUGAUGAAUUGCCCCAUGAGCUAUAAGGCCAGGUGGUACAUGUAUGAGUGUGCUAUGUUACAACUUAUUCGAUCGGCCCACACGCGGUGGAAAUAUUAUAUGAUAUCGAUUGGGCCUCACACGGGGGCAUGUUAUUGUUAGUGUACCCAUGGUGUCGCCAAGGACGUGGAUGAGGGCUUAAUGGUAUGAUGUUUGUGCUAUAAUGAACUUGAUUACAUGUUGUCAGUCGAUGCUGAUUUGAAUUGAUGAAUUAUCUGUGUAUCCAAGUAGUUAAACUGAGCACGUUGGUGGGGCUAUGGGUGUGAUAUGUGAAAUCAAUGUGAUAUGGCUAUGGUAUAUGAUUUUUGAUUGAAAUAUUCACGAAUGGUGCCCUGAUGGUUAUUUCGAGCACGUUAAUAGGACCAUGGAUGAGCUAUAAUAUAUGAUAUUGGUGUAAUGUGGUGUGAUAUGAUGUUAUGUGAUGUGUGGAUGCCAUGUGGAAUUAUUUGAUGCUUUAUGUGAAUCGUUAAUAACUGUGUAAAUUAUUGAAAAUUGUGUGGAUAUACGUAUUAUCCAAGAAGGUUCUGUGGUUGAUGCUUAUGCAUACUGUUGGUUUUGUUGGUUAGAGGAGAGAUGUUGCUUGAUUCAUAUUGUGAGUUAAUUAAAUGAUCAUAAAAUGCUAUUAUAUGAUUUGGUUGGUUCGAAAAUCAAUGAUUAUUGAGUAUGGAGUGUCUAGUUUAGUUAGAUGCAACAUGUUUAGAACUUGCAUAUAUGUAAUAGCUUCCGCUGCAAUAUUUAUAGGUUUUGAUUUUAUACAAAUUUAAAAACUGUUUUAAAAUGCGCUAAAUAUGGACUUUUAAUCAAUCAUAAUUUAUGGUAUCAAAAUUGUGGUAUAUUUGGUGCUACAUUUCCUACCUUGUACUAUAAAUUACUAGGGCAUAUAGUAGGAGAUGUAAGGGCAUCCCUAACACAGUCGGGCCGAACCGCACCUGGGUCUCGGCCCGCGUCCUGCACAUUGGAGGUGGGGGAGUUAUGGCCCAGGCCGCGCCUGAGGACGCGGGAGACGCGGCAGAGUCCUGCGGCCGGGCCGCAGCCUAGGGUUAUGGGGCAGGGACGGAUCUAGCAUUAAGCUAGAUGGGGCAAAUGCCCCUGCUCAUAUUUCAUUGUUUAUAUAUAUGUAUAACCAAUUAUAGAGAUUUUUGUAUUAAUCUUUCACUAAUUGACCCUUCUUUAAUUUUAAAAUUUCUCCAUGUAUAUUUUUGCCCCUCUUGCUAAGAAUUCCUAGAUCCGUCCCUGUUAUGGGGUGUUCGGUUCGGACCCGAACCCUCAAAUUUUUUUUUUAAUUUUGUAUGUUUGCCUAUUUAUAUACCAUUUGUUCAACAUUCUUUUACCAAUUUUUCACUUUAUUCUACCUCUAUUCUUUUUAUUUUUUAGGAUUUUUAAUUUUUAAUUUUUAAUUUAUAGGAUUUGUAAUUUUAAUUUUCAGGAUUUGUAACUUUUAAUUUUUAAUUUCUAGGAUUUGUUAUUUUUUAUUUUCAACUAAACGAUGAAUUUUUUGUGUUUUAAUUUUUCAAUUGUUUUAUUUUAUGAGAAUAAUAUGUUGUAGUUAUGAAUAAUGCAAUUUAAUAGUUGGGGCUGCUAAGUUAGAGUAGUUGUGGCUUGAGCCUCAAAAUUAGAGAAAUGAUGACAUGGAGGGAACUUCGGGCCUUAAUUCGGGCCGGGGUUGAGUACGGGCCUUAAUCUGGGCCGAGGUUGAGUAUGCUCUAAAAUUAUAUAUGGUUAGAGAUCCUCGCAGAUAUUUUUAGGUUUGUCUUAGGGAACUUUCUUUUUCUAAAUCUCAAGAAUAAUGAUCCAUUUUACCACUGUUGAAGUAUUUUCUAAACUUUUAAAGAUUUUUCGAGUUAGACCCACACUUCUCGACAGUGGCGGAUUUAGUUAAGAACAAAGGGGUACGAGUGUACCCCUAAAACUGCCAGCGUCCUAGUGGUAAUAUGCUCUUCUAACACAACAUUCGCCAAGGUUCGAUUCCUCUCGGUGUUAAUUCCUUUUCUGCCUUAUUAAUUACUCCCUACGCCCUAUUCUAUCUUGAGUUGUUUUUAGUUUCUACCCAUGUAUCAAAUAUCACACUAAUAUAGUAUUAUUUGUUCUCUCCUUUUUAUAUACACAGUAAAUAAUGUAUUGUUGGAUAUAAUCUUGA